rnacentral:rRNA from 1 species
UACAGAGGUCUCACGCGUUGUUCGGAUUCAUUGGGCGUAAAGGGUGCGUAGGCGGGAUGACAAGUCUGUUGUUAAAUAUCCUGGCUCAACCAGGAAAGUGCAAUGGAAACUGUUAUUCUAGAGGGUGAGAGAGGGAAGUGGAAUUCCAGGAGUUAGCGGUCAAAUGCGUAGAUCUCUGGAGGAACACCGAUGGCGAAGGCAGCUUCUUGGCUCAUUUCUGACGCUGAGGCACGAAAGCGUGGGGAGCAAACAGG